UAAACUUUAUCUUACUUUGUUUAAUUCAACAAUUCAGAAAAAUACCUACGUGAUAAUCAAUAUAAAGUAAUUGACAGCAACAACAUUAUUAACUCAAAAUUCAGAACCGACUAAUUAACAUAAAGAACAUACUGGAAGCUAUCCCCCAAUAUACUAAAACAUAUCCUAGGGUGUGGGAGCCAGAAUCCAAUACUAUCUUUGAUCCUGCUUGUUUUGAAAUUAAGCCAUUUCCCUGACAAUAGGUUUGGAGGCUGGUUGCUGCUCAAAAACUCUUAAUCAAAACAUUUACCAUACUCAGAAAUUUACAUUUUUAAGACAUCCCUCAUUUAUGUAAAAUUAGCAAUCAAUAUGUUUGUGCGAUAAUAUAAUAACCGUUUCACGCGAUUUGUUGUAGUAAAUCUCGUUAGCUUUCAUUAGUCCCACACAAUAUGCCGCAUUAAUACUUCCAUGGUGCAUAGAGUCCAUUCAUAUACAAAAGGAUACGUUUGUGACAAAAUUUGAAAUAUUGUAAUGCUGUGGAGCUUUAUAAAACGAAAAUAAGAAUUUCAUAACCAAAACUUGUUUGCUUAAGCUAGCUUGUCGUCGUAUUGAGCAAACCACUCAAAAAUGGAAUUUCUAGAGUCAUACUUGCAAAGCCAAUUUUAUUAGGGAGACCCAACCCUGUGACCAUUUAGUUUUUGGCGAUCAAACAUGCGAACUAAAUUGUUAGCAGAACUGAAGUAAAAGCAAUAAAAAGUUAAUGAAGAACAAUAGUCCAAAAAAGUUUUGGCAGCUGAAAAAAAGGAUCAAACUUCCAAGUUAAACUCAUUAAUGGCAUUAAGAACUAUAAAAACUAAUUAGGAAGAAAAGAAAAAAUCAGAAUGAUGUAUAUAUCUCAAUCGACAAUCAUUCCAAAAAAAUAGGGAAUGAGCAUACCCAGUCAGAUCUAUCACCGCGAAACUGCAUAUCACCGAAAACGUCACAACUGUCGUCGUCUCCCCUAUUUCGAUCGGUACCCCAACAACCUUAUAGUUACCGUUGAAGAAAAGGAAGAGAGAAAAAAGAAGAAAAGGAAGAGAGAGAUGAUGUUCGUACAAACAGCGGUAGAGAGAAGAAAUAAGAAUGGGAAGAUAUGGAUUAGAGAAGAAAGAAGAAGAGGAAUAGAGAGAUAAUGUUAGGAAGAGAGAUGAUGCAGCGUGAACUUUGGCAAUGGGAAACAAAUUUUUUGAAAGUGACAAAGUUAUCAAUUUGACUUUGGAAAUAGUUAAUUUAGAACCAGAAUGAAUGAGAAUCAGUCAACAAAUGUAUAUAAAGGUAAAUGAAAUACAACA
rnacentral:lncRNA from 1 species